GUCGAACGAUGAAGCCCAGCUUGCUGGGUGGAUUAGUGGCGAACGGGUGAGUAACACGUGAGUAACCUGCCCUUGACUCUGGGAUAAGCCUGGGAAACUGGGUCUAAUACCGGAUAUGACCUUCCAUCGCAUGGUGGUUGGUGGAAAGCUUUUGUGGUUUUGGAUGGACUCGCGGCCUAUCAGCUUGUUGGUGGGGUAAUGGCCUACCAAGGCGAUGACGGGUAGCCGGCCUGAGAGGGUGACCGGCCACACUGGGACUGAGACACGGCCCAGACUCCUACGGGAGGCAGCAGUGGGGAAUAUUGCACAAUGGGCGCAAGCCUGAUGCAGCGACGCCGCGUGAGGGAUGACGGCCUUCGGGUUGUAAACCUCUUUCAGUAGGGAAGAAGCGAAAGUGACGGUACCUGCAGAAGAAGCGCCGGCUAACUACGUGCCAGCAGCCGCGGUAAUACGUAGGGCGCAAGCGUUAUCCGGAAUUAUUGGGCGUAAAGAGCUCGUAGGCGGUUUGUCGCGUCUGCUGUGAAAGACCGGGGCUCAACUCCGGUUCUGCAGUGGGUACGGGCAGACUAGAGUGAUGUAGGGGAGACUGGAAUUCCUGGUGUAGCGGUGAAAUGCGCAGAUAUCAGGAGGAACACCGAUGGCGAAGGCAGGUCUCUGGGCAUUAACUGACGCUGAGGAGCGAAAGCAUGGGGAGCGAACAGGAUUAGAUACCCUGGUAGUCCAUGCCGUAAACGUUGGGCACUAGGUGUGGGGGACAUUCCACGUUUUCCGCGCCGUAGCUAACGCAUUAAGUGCCCCGCCUGGGGAGUACGGCCGCAAGGCUAAAACUCAAAGGAAUUGACGGGGGCCCGCACAAGCGGCGGAGCAUGCGGAUUAAUUCGAUGCAACGCGAAGAACCUUACCAAGGCUUGACAUGGACUGGAUCGCUCUGGAAACAGGGUUUCCCUUCGGGGCUGGUUCACAGGUGGUGCAUGGUUGUCGUCAGCUCGUGUCGUGAGAUGUUGGGUUAAGUCCCGCAACGAGCGCAACCCUCGUUCCAUGUUGCCAGCACGUAGUGGUGGGGACUCAUGGGAGACUGCCGGGGUCAACUCGGAGGAAGGUGGGGACGACGUCAAAUCAUCAUGCCCCUUAUGUCUUGGGCUUCACGCAUGCUACAAUGGCCGGUACAAUGGGUUGCGAUACUGUGAGGUGGAGCUAAUCCCAAAAAGCCGGUCUCAGUUCGGAUUGGGGUCUGCAACUCGACCCCAUGAAGUCGGAGUCGCUAGUAAUCGCAGAUCAGCAACGCUGCGGUGAAUACGUUCCCGGGCCUUGUACACACCGCCCGUCAAG
rnacentral:rRNA from 1 species